GUCAGGCCCACGCGGACCUGCUCAAUCUGAAACUCUGGGAACAGGGCCCAGCAAGCUGAGAUGAACAGACGAAAGGAUUAAGAAUCUCAUUAAAGGUUUUGGAGCUAAUAAGUGGCAGAGCUGAAAUUUGAACCCAGGGAAUUUCACAAAAAUGAGCUUGGCCUUCUUAACUGCUAAGCUGUGCCAGGCUACAGGCUCUUAAUUUCCCAUCACGCGCUCCCUGCGUGAAGACUGCGGACCCAGCACGCUUUGUGUCUAGUUCAGUGGCGUGAAACACAUUCACACUGUUGUGCCGCCGCCACCGUCCGGCUCCGGGACUUUGUCACCGUCCCAGACUGAAACCCUGCACCCGCUACAGACGAGCUCUCCAUCAUUCCCUUCCUCUAGCCCUGGCAACGACAGUUUGCUUUCUGUCUCUGAAUGUGUCUAUUCCAGUAGCCGCCUAGUGGGUGUGAGGUGAAGGAAUCACGAGUCUUAACGGCCUUACUCACAUAGAGG